rnacentral:rRNA from 1 species
GUUUAACGGCCGCGGUAUUUUGACCGUGCAAAGGUAGCGCAAUCACUUGUCUUUUAAAUGAAGACCCGUAUGAAUGGCACAACGAGGGCUUAACUGUCUCCUUUUUCCCGUCAAUGAAAUUGAUCUCCCCGUGCAGAAGCGGGGAUACACCCAUAAGACGAGAAGACCCUAUGGAGCUUCAGGCUUCUGAACAGACUAUGUUAAGCCCCUGACACAAAAGACAAAACUAAUUAGACCCUGUUUAAAUGCCUUUGGUUGGGGCGACCGCGGGGAAAUAAAAAACCCCCAUGUGGACUAAGAACACAAUUCCUCUUAAAACCAAGAACUACCGCUCUAAGCAACAGAACUUCUGACCAAAAAUGAUCCGGCAAAGCCGAUCAACGGACCGAGUUACCCUAGGGAU